rnacentral:rRNA from 1 species
CCUACGGGUGGCUGCAGUUUCGAAUCAUUCACAAUGGGCGAAAGCCUGAUGGUGCGACGCCGCGUGAGGGAUGAAGGUCUUCGGAUUGUAAACCUCUGUCACCGGGGAAGAAACGCUUCAAGUUAAUAGUUUGACGCCUGACUUAACCCGGAGAGGAAGCAGUGGCUAACUCUGUUCCAGCAGCCGCGGUAAUACAGAGACUGCAAGCGUUAAUCGGGUGCGCAGGGCGUAAAGUGUGCGCAGGGGGAAAGCCCGGAGCUUAACGCCGGAAUUGCUCCUCCAACUACAUGGCUAGAGCAUUGGAGAGGGUAGCAGAAUUCACGGUGUAGCAGUGAAAUGCGUAGAUAUCGUGAGGAAUACCAGAGGCGAAGGCGGCUACCUGGACAAUUGCUGACGCUCAGGCACGAAAGCGUGGGGAGCAAAAGGGAUUAGAUACCCUGGUAGUC